rnacentral:rRNA from 1 species
AGAAUCAACGCUGGCGGCGUGCCUAACACAUGCAAGUCGAACGAGAAAGGGGUAGCAAUACCCUGAGUAAAGUGGCGCACGGGUGAGUAACACGUGACUAACCUACCCUUGAGUGGGGGAUAACUGAGGGAAACCUUAGCUAAUACCGCAUAAUACCCACGGGUCAAGGGAGCAAUUCGCUCGAGGAGGGGGUCGCGGCCGAUUAGUUAGUUGGCGGGGUAAUGGCCCACCAAGACGAUGAUCGGUAU